GUGGAUAAAGAAGGGAGACCUGUUUACAUCGAAAGAUUGGGAAAAGUUGAUCCUCAUAAGCUUAUGCAAGUUACAACUAUGGAUCGUUAUGUAAAAUACCACGUGCGGGAGUUUGAGAAAAGCUUUGCAAUAAAAUUUCCUGCUUGUACCAUUGCUGCAAAGAGACAUAUAGAUUCAAGCACAACCAUUUUAGAUGUUCAUGGCGUGGGUCUUAAGAACUUCACCAAGAAUGC
rnacentral:misc_RNA from 1 species